rnacentral:rRNA from 1 species
AAUAGAUACCCCGGUAGUCCACCCCGUAAACGUUGGGAACUAGUUGUGGGGACCAUUCCACGGUUUCCGUGACGCAGCUAACGCAUUAAGUUCCCCGCCUGGGGAGUACGGCCGCAAGGCUAAAACUCAAAGGAAUUGACGGGGACCCGCACAAGCGGCGGAGCAUGCGGAUUAAUUCGAUGCAACGCGAAGAACCUUACCAAGGCUUGACAUAUACGAGAACGGGCCAGAAAUGGUCAACUCUUUGGACACUCGUAAACAGGUGGUGCAUGGUUGUCGUCAGCUCGUGUCGUGAGAUGUUGGGUUAAGUCCCGCAACGAGCGCAACCCUCGUUCUAUGUUGCCAGCACGUAAUGGUGGGAACUCAUGGGAUACUGCCGGGGUCAACUCGGAGGAAGGUGGGGAUGACGUCAAAUCAUCAUGUCCCUUAUGUCUUGGGCUUCACGCAUGCUACAAUGGCCGGUACAAAGGGCUGCAAUACCGUAAGGUGGAGCGAAUCCCAAAAAGCCGGUCCAGUUCGGAUUGAGGUCUGCAACUCGACCUCAUG